UCACUCCCACUGCGUAUGAUCACUGUGUAGAGUUUCAAAAGACACAUUCCUUAUCAUUCAAUAAUAUUCUGUCAGUUUUACUACUAGUCAAAUCCAGACAUGUUCUGGUUCCAAAGCCUGUGAUGCUAUUAAGUUUCCUGGUGAAGUUAUUCGGUUUCUAUCACCUUCUUCCAACAUACUUGUCAUUUCUCAGUGGCUUCUGCAUUCACAGGUGGUGACAACUUGAAAGAUGGUACCAGGGCAGGUAAUGGAGACAUGGCCUCUAGCAUGUCCUACCUCAUAAAAGGCCUCUGCCCAAAGACAGCAGUACCCUGGAUGACUGUGCUGCUCUAAUGACAGCUUCCAUAGGACAAAACACAGGCUCCACCUAUCAUGUGACACCUGAUUUGUGAGUCAAGAUGGGACUUGGUGGUUUGUAGGCCUGAUAGUCCACCUACAGAUAAUUUGCUCCUUUCACCACAACCAGCAAUAACAGCAAUUCCCUUUUGAAUAGUCCUUUAAAUUCUCUUCUUUCAAUUUAUUCAGAACCUGACUAGUAGCUGUUGGUAACAUCAUCUUGAAAACUUCACCUUUGCUUCCCAUUCCAUUCCAGCUACUGAAAUUCCUAAAAGAAUCACCACAGUAAUGGAACCUAUGAUUCGAAUAUCAUUGGUUUGGUCCACCAUCAUUGAGUCACUCUCCUGGAGGGAAAAAAAAUCAUGACAAUGAUUAGAGAUAUAACUCUCUACAAAGGAGUGUUAGUCUCACAUUUAACAGGAAGAAAAGGUAUUAUACACAAUUGCUUGGGGCCAUGAAAGAUAAUAAA